rnacentral:rRNA from 1 species
AUUGAACGCUGGCGGCAGGCUUAACACAUGCAAGUCGAACGAGUGGCGGACGGGUGAGUAAUGCUUGGGAAUCUAGCUGAUGGAGGGGGAUAACUACGGGAAACUGUAGCUAAUACCGCGUACCAUAGGAUGAGCCCAAGUGGGAUUAGGUAGUUGGUGGGGUAACGGCUCACCAAGCCGACGAUCUCUAGCUGGUCUGAGAGGAUGACCAGCCACACUGGGACUGAGACACGGCCCAGACUCCUACGGGAGGCAGCAGUGGGGAAUAUUGCGCAAUGGGGGCAACCUGACGCAGCCAUGCCGCGUGAAUGAAGAAGGCCUUCGGGUUGUAAAGUACUUUCGGUAGAGAGGCGUUAACUGCAGAAGAAGCACCGGCUAACUCCGUGCCAGCAGCCGCGGUAAUAC